CCUUCUUUCCCCGAUCUCCCCGACUCCUCUCGCUGUCUCUCUCGCGGACGAACCGAAGUCGGCGAACCUUAGGCAAUCGUGGUCGUCGCCUGAGGAGUACAUCGCCGGAGAUCGAACCAGGAGGCUUGGAUCAUCUGGAUCUCUUCUAAACCCUUCCCGAGCCCUUCUCCCUGCGCGUGCCGACCCCUUUAUUCUCCGAUCGACGCCGCUGGAUCAAGCCAGAUCCACCGAUUUGCCGGCAGGAAGAGGCGUUUAGGGCUCCGAGGGUAAGGUUAGGUGGUUGAUUCGAUCGGUGUUUGGAUUGGUGAUCUUUUUGCUUGAUUCAUUGAUUGAGCCGAUUGAUCCAGUGAGAUAGGUUCUGUGAAGGUGAUCUUGGGUCUCCUCUUCCUUGUUGCUAAUUGAGAUUCCGGUUGAAGUGAGGGGAGGUGAGGUUCCAUUCUUGCUGUGGAAUUGUGUUUGGUUCCGGCAGUAACAAUCACCUCAAUCCAGCAUCAACAGUAGGUUCGAUCUGCUCUGUUCUAUUUGUGAACUUUCUGAUUUCGGCAGUAAACCAUCCCGCAACAACAACAACUGGAUUUGAGGAGUCUGAUUUGAGACAGGCGUCUCGACGUUGACUUCGGAUUUGGAUUGUACCUUCUAUUUGAGGCGGGUACCCUUUGACUUAUCUCUUGAUAGUGUCUUUUGAUAUGUGCAGUUUAUAUAUACUUACUAGUGAUUGGUAGAUUUAGCACUUCCCUGGUUAUAGGUUAUUCGAUACCUGUAGACGGUUACUAGUGAUUGGUAGUUCACACUUCCCCUGGAUUUAGGUUUGGUUGCUACUUGAUACAUGCUUCUACUGUUAUCUGCUAUACAUUAGGCUGGUAUACCUUUACUUAUUACCAUGUGUAUAUGUGUUCGUGGAUAUGGAUAUUUAUAAUGCUUUACUAUACUGGAUUAGUUGUUAUACAUAUUGGAUAUGUGAUGUUGGAUUCAUAUUGCCUAUAUCGUUGUUAUAUAUGUGUUCUUGGAUUUAUGCUGCUUCUAUCAGGGUUAUU